UGUAUCUGUGGGUAGCAGUGUAGGCACAACCUACUAUUAGUUUAUCUGGUUUUGUGAUGGGCUCCUCCUUAUCUCUGAAGCAAUGACUGGGAAAAUCAGCUGCUCUCAUCUGAUCCAGGGCUUCUUACCAUUUCUCUAAAUGGCUGAGUCUUUCCCAAGACACCUGGUACUUUCACAACUGUGACUUGGUACUAAAAUCUAGAGGACAUCUGAAAGAAAAAACCUGGACCUGCUCUGCUGGAGUGCAAACACCCAUUAGCAGCUGUAACUCAAGACCUAGUCUGGAUUUUACCCUCCCAGAUCUCAAUGGAUUGCUGAUUAAACAAAUGGAACAGUAUACUGCAGAAAAAAUAGAAAUACAUGGAGAAAGAGAAGAUUGCAGAAGCAACUCGUCGCAGAACGACAGUUUUCACCAUCUGUUUAUCAAUUUUCAAACAUGAAACAGAACACAUAUGAAAGAGCAGAGAGGUUCUUUGUGGGAGGUGCUACUGAACUUACUCAACAGCAGCCUUUCAAAUACAGUCUUCUUACUUUUCAUCCUGAGCUUUAGAAAGUAAACACUCGGGUUUACAGAUCUACAGCCAGCGUUCUAGGAGUGUAUGAUACUGCAGUAUUUCUUCUGCUUAUCAGCUCAGCCUGGAAGAAUAGUUGGAUUUUUUAAAUUACUGUCUCCACUGCACUCAGCUUCUGUAUACUGAUGUAUUUUUGCCUUUGUUUCUAAGAAUCAUCCAGUCUCUUAAAUGCUUUUACAAAUUAAGCUCGAAUGAAAGCUUUCACCUUUAUCUGAAGUGCAACUUAUUAUUUCUGAUGAUCCUUCCUCCUUUUGAAAUGCCACUCAAUGUAUCUUUACUGGAACCAUUAAAUUUAACUCAACUAAAUAAAUAAAUAAGAAGACUAUUUCUGGCA
rnacentral:lncRNA from 1 species